GUUUCCGUAGGUGAACCUGCGGAAGGAUCAUUACCGAGUGCGGGUCCUUUGGGCCCAACCUCCCAUCCGUGUCUAUUGUACCCUGUUGCUUCGGCGGGCCCGCCGCUUGUCGGCCGCCGGGGGGGCGCCUCUGCCCCCCGGGCCCGUGCCCGCCGGAGACCCCAACACGAACACUGUCUGAAAGCGUGCAGUCUGAGUUGAUUGAAUGCAAUCAGUUAAAACUUUCAACAAUGGAUCUCUUGGUUCCGGCAUCGAUGAAGAACGCAGCGAAAUGCGAUAACUAAUGUGAAUUGCAGAAUUCAGUGAAUCAUCGAGUCUUUGAACGCACAUUGCGCCCCCUGGUAUUCCGGGGGGCAUGCCUGUCCGAGCGUCAUUGCUGCCCUCAAGCCCGGCUUGUGUGUUGGGUCGCCGUCCCCCUCUCCGGGGGGACGGGCCCGAAAGGCAGCGGCGGCACCGCGUCCGAUCCUCGAGCGUAUGGGGCUUUGUCACAUGCUCUGUAGGAUUGGCCGGCGCCUGCCGACGUUUUCCAACCAUUCUUUCCAGGUUGACCUCGGAUCAGGUAGGGAUACCCGCUGAACUUAAG
rnacentral:rRNA from 1 species